UCGUAAAAGGAGAAGACCGAGACCUGGCUCAUGAAGUGGUAUUGAUUUUCUGAGUUCCUGCUCGAGUUGCCAAAGAUACAACACUGUUGUUAAGGAGAGGAGAUGCCUUGGCCUUCAAUAUCACAGGAGGGUUCCUCGGAUUUACCAAUUUGGGCUUCUUCCAGCGCUAAAAACCGAUUACAAAUAUGAAACAGAUUUUACUACUGGACUUGAAUACCAUAUUAAAAACAAGAAGAUCGUCAAAAUAAUUGAAAAAGAUCCUCACCAAAGAAUAGAUGCAAUGUGAAUGGCAAGAUAUCAAGGAGGUUUUGGUAUUUGGUCUGACACAUAACAGACCCUGAAAUGUUGGUGGAGUGAAUGAGGAAUCUCUCACGCUGCAUCCUGGGAACUAUACUUAGACAGCAAUGCAAUGUGUGUGAGCCCUGGAAUCCUGCUCCAUAUGGAAAUUUCAGAAUUUGUUGAUUGUGGACACUAAACAGAGUCCUCCAGCUUUGUGCUUUUAUCCUGGUGGUGGCCCUCAAGAAUAAGCCAAGCGUCCGGUUUCAUCUCAGUGCAUUUUCGUCUUUAAGAACAUAGAGCAUACUGUUUUAAGAUCCUGAAUGCUGAGAGUGGCCUCUUCCUUCUUCACCAUGUCCUGAACUCCGUUUGCCACCUCCUGCUAUUCCUGGACAUGAGGAAUCUGGAAGAAUACGCCGUAUCUGGAACGCCAAGCAAGCCCUUAACAAAUAUGUGUUAAAGCCCUUUGAAUGAACUCCAAGUGCCUUUCCAAGAAAAAAAAAAAAAAAGAAAAAGAAGGCACUUUCAACAAGUGAACACACUGCUUCAAUCAGUAGAUUUUUGCUUUUCUCUUUCCUGGAACGAUUGCUGUUUUUUUGCUUCCUUGCCAUUUCAACAUGUUCCUUGAGAUUGUGGUAAGGUAGUGAGCUCUGAGCACGUGACAAGCAUUAGAAGCAUUCAAAUGGAGAUGCAUCUUCCAGAUAAACAGGAGCCCAGGAGCUGAUCUCCAUGCAGAAGAUGAUGAGUUGAGAUCCUGCCCAGAAAUAAGUGUCGGACCAGCUGCCUGGAGUCCGACGUUAGCCGGAGUGAGCCUAAUUACUGGUAGGCAAGAGGGCCUGAUGCGACGUGCUACACACACGGCCUUCCUCUCUGCUCUCAUUCGCUUCUGGUUUCAGAGGAGCCUGGAAUUUUGUUGGAGGCAAACAAUUGCAUUCCCUCUGCUCGAUAUGCUAGGAUGAAAUAUGAUUGCAUUUCCCCCAGGGAACCUCCAGUUGAAAAGGGCCAGUCUGGAAAAGAGUGCACCAAUGAUCAAAGUGGCCACAUAUGAUGGUCCCAGACUGAUGCCUGUGUUCCCACUGAAGGAGACUUUCUUCCCAGGAUGAGAUCCAGCCUCUGCUCUAAAGUUCUUAGCACGCCAGGGUGAAGAAGUUCUGAAAGUGUUCUGUGAAGUUGCAUCUUGAAGAAUGAGGAAUGCAGAGGGGCCUCUCAGACCACAGAGGAUGGCAGUGCUGUGAAUGACGUCUGGAACUGGUCAUUGGCACCCGAGGGUGGAGAGAGCUGGAAUCCACACCACCAUUCCCUUCUUUGUGCAUGUUGAGACCUCCUGUGACUUCAGAAUCUUUGUCAGCAUAGUAUUACAAGAAGCAGCUAAUUGAGGUUGGCCAGAGCAACAAUGCUUCUUUGGCACUCUUGGUAUUUAUCGUAGGAGAGUAUGGUAAAUAGUGCUGGAAGUAGAAUGUGCCACUUUCUGGAUUAUUUUCUUCUAGUUGAUGAGUAGAAUCUCUUCCAAACCUUGGGAAAGACUUGUGCUUUAUAGAUAUUUUUUUUUCUUCCUAAUUAUAUUCCACUACCAGCUUUUCAGCCUGUUUACAUGGGUAUGUAAAAAUACAGAACUAGCUUUCAUUUAAAGCUAGAAAAAAAAAAACCAAAAAGAAAAACAUAAAAGUAAAAUACGUACUAUAGGAUCUUCAGAGCUCCUGCCAGUGGACCUCAAACUUGGAUUUCAGUUUUUUAGCUCUCUACAAAGAAUGGCCUUCACAAGCCCAUCCAAUGACUGCAACAACAAAGACAGGGCCCCACAAUACUUGAGGUCAUCGGGGGGCAUCGUGGCACAUUUGGGGCCACCUUAACUUCGUCUCUGUGCUUAGACUGUCCUUGAGUAAUCACUGAACUCCCUUACCGUCCCGUGGGAAAUGACACCUUAACGCCUCCUUUCCAAAUAGGAAACUUCCACCUUCAUGGAAGCGAUAUCAAUUCUACUCAAGGUAAAUUCUAUAAUUUUUCAAGAAUCUUUUGUUUAAUAUGGAAACUUCAAGCAGAGGACCCAGGGCAUUUUCUUUCAUCAACGUGAUUCUAAUUUUAUCAGAGCACUAAAAAGAAAUCUACUUGGUUUUUUCUUGUCCAGUACUCCACUUGCUCUGAAGCACAUUCAAAAGCCACCUCUCUGAUCUGAAGACGUCUCCGCAGAAUUAUGUAAUUGGACCAACGGUUGCCGGUUCCCCACACUCUUGCUGCUUCGCAUUAUUGCAGAGCAGACUACUGUUUUGCAGACCUUCCUUAUUGCGUAAAUGGCUACAUUAUCACUGUGUACACAUUAGGACAAGCAAAUGGGCCCCUUAAGGCAAAUAAGGGUUCAAAUAACCCAGACAAGGUAGCCCAACUGAAUUGAGGAUUCACCCUUGUUACAACCUCAUUGCUUUAUGGCACAUGAACUAGUGGAAGGGACAGACUGCUUCAAGUGUGUUUCUACUGAUCCUGCUGGCAAAUCACAGCUUUAUUACAGUAAUGAGCCUGACCAUAUUUCUGUGCUUAUGCAUAUUAGGCACCAAAUGUAUUUUCCGGCCUGCCAGCCUGUGGUAGUAACUAACACGAGCAAUUUGUCCUGGGUUACAGUGUGUGUGCAUGCAUUAGGUAUGAGCAUGUUAGUUGCUUUGGGGUAUAAAAUACUACAUGUUUCAUCAUGCGUAUUUUUAUAUGCACAACUUAACUGUAUGCAAAAUAGCUUGGCAAUUAACCAACACAACUUAUUAGUUUACUACAAGAUUAUUGCAUAAAUAUGUGAACUGGGGACAGCCACAAUUUCAAUUUGGCAAUAUUAAAAAUUUUGUUGGAUUAUUAAAUAUCUGAAGAAAUAUCUCCCCCCUCUAUGGUAUAAGUGUUAAGGUUCUUUAAAAAAAUAUCUUGAUUCUUCUCCCAUUUUCAUUUCCAUAAAUAACCCUGAGCACGACCCUUUUCGGGAGGCUGUGGGAUUUGAGCCGGUGAAUUCCCCCAUACUCAUUGCGAGCUGACAUUUGGCCUUUGACCCCAUCAGCUUUCAGGCGAAGGUGAAUGGUCAUUAUUGCGAUUUCUUCCUCAGGAUCACAUUUUAUGUAUGCUAGUUAUUGGGUCCAGGGUUAUUAAAAAGGAACAUCAGCAUACUUCAGCUCGACCGCUAAGAACAGUGUAUAUGUUUCCUCUUUCUGUUGACCACUGGGAUCGUAGAGCUCAGUGCUGUUGGCUUGUGUGACUGCCUUGGAGGCGUACAGGGCUUACUCCAAAAGCGCAGACACACGGAACCACCUCUCCCUGAACUCUUAAUUAAAAUGAACUCUUUCUCCCGCUUCGCUGCAAAACAAAGAAACGAACAAAACAUUAAGUACGGAAUACAGGAUUGGUACAAAAUAAAGGGUUAGCUUGGUGGGAGGCUGCUGCCAAGGGAAUGGCUGCUCUUGCUACUUCCGCACGUGUCACAUGUCGUAAGGUGUCAGAGAAUUACUUUUUUCCUCCAUUCAGGUUGGAUUUAUGUAAAUGACUGCACGGGACAGGUGCCUUUAUUUAGUUGCUACUAAAGCCGGAAUCAUGUUGUACAAGAGCUGAUAACAUGAAAUAACACGAAAUAAGUGGCCUUAUCCCUUCUGAAGCUUGUUUUACAGUACUGGUAUUUCUCUUUAGCAAAUCCUGCUGCGUUUUUAAGUAAUACGAUAAAACAACAUAAAUGUCUUUGUGGCUAAAACUGAUUGUUUCAGGAGGAACAUGGCUGUUUUAUUCUUGUCUUUUAUCUCCUCUACACUGAAUUUUUGAAAACAUGACCAGCUCCCUGGCCUGUGUGUAUAUAAAUAGGCUAUUUGCGUAGAGACCCCACAAUUAUUCAUGCAUCAAAAAGAGGGAGAAUGGGAGGGAACCCCAUGCUGAUAAUAGCAGCACCCCAAAUCAAUAUAAAACCAAGACCGAAAUGUGCCUUUUGCAGUCCUGUCACAGAUUAAUAUGGUUCAUGAUAGAUACUUAGUUCUCUGACAGUUUCCCCUGCACCUUCACUGGGAAGUUGAUAGAAAUUACUCCAGCUGAAUGCUUAAAGCAGAUGUUAUCCCAUUAAUUAGCUCUGGACCCGGGUACACUCGAGACUUUCCCAUUUUCAGGCCGAAAGGAAUUGGUCCCAGUGAGCGUGCUCUAUAUCCACAUUUAGUAUCAUCUCAUAAACAGCAGUGAAAACACAGCAGGCCCUUGAUGAAGAUACAUUAGCUUAUUUCUAAUUUAAAGUUAUGUUGCUUAACCUUAAUGUAAUUGGUCACCGGUGGCCAACUGUUUGUAUAGUGUGUUGAUGACCAAAGAGAUGUAAUAAAUUAUAAAACUCUCUGCUUAAAUGGAGGGAACGACUGUUUUGUUAAAAGCUUUGCAUGUAAUAAUGGUAAAAUAAUUACACCUCAAGCCGAAUAGCUGUGAAGCUGUUAAUACUAACAACAGAGUUGUUCUCAGGAUAGCUCGGUUCAUCCCCAUUUAAAACCAGUACGUGAACCUGGCUCUUGUAUUUAGCAAAAGAGUAACUUUGAAAGUUCAAUCUCACCCUGAUUAAAAUAAAUGGGUAAAUCGUCCUGUUAUCUUAGUUGGGAAUGAUGGUGAUGGGUAGUAGGGUGGUGGGGUGAAUUAAAAUAACCAAUUGUUAUGGUUAACUAGGAGACAAAAAGCACAAACCGGUUGGUAGUCACUGCCAGACACGUCUUUAAAGAAGACUUGAUUAGCUGGUGGAAAAACUGGGAUAAUCAUCAAAUAUGAAAGUAAUUGACACAACUUUAACGUUUAAUAAUGAAUAGCCCGCCAGAGGCAAAAUAAAGGGAAACGGUCUUUCUUUUCUCAGAACAAGUUCUGACUUAAAAUUUCUUAGGCCAAAUAUAGAGAGCGAUUGCUCGAGGUUUGUGAACUACAAUUCCCAGAUUAUAAUUAAAGUUAUAAAUAUGGUUAAAAUGAAAUCACACGAUUAACAAUAUUCAAUCUAUCAGGGGUAAUGAUAUUCAUUCCAUAGGUUUUCUGUAUGUCACUGUGAAAAAUCUAGUCCCCCCUCUCCCUGUUAAAGGCUUGUGACUUAUUUUGAAACGCAAAAGUGAAAUAAACAGAGUCGUGCUUCUGUCUGGA